rnacentral:rRNA from 1 species
GAUGAACGCUGGCGGCGUGCCUAAUACAUGCAAGUCGAGCGAACGGACGAGAAGCUUGCUUCUCUGAUGUUAGCGGCGGACGGGUGAGUAACACGUGGAUAACCUACCUAUAAGACUGGGAUAACUUCGGGAAACCGGAGCUAAUACCGGAUAAUAUAUUGAACCGCAUGGUUCAAUAGUGAAAGACGGUUUUGCUGUCACUUAUAGAUGGAUCCGCGCUGCAUUAGCUAGUUGGUAAGGUAACGGCUUACCAAGGCAACGAUGCAUAGCCGACCUGAGAGGGUGAUCGGCCACACUGGAACUGAGACACGGUCCAGACUCCUACGGGAGGCAGCAGUAGGGAAUCUUCCGCAAUGGGCGAAAGCCUGACGGAGCAACGCCGCGUGAGUGAUGAAGGUCUUCGGAUCGUAAAACUCUGUUAUUAGGGAAGAACAUAUGUGUAAGUAACUAUGCACAUCUUGACGGUACCUAAUCAGAAAGCCACGGCUAACUACGUG